AGCUCCAAUAGCGUAUAUUAAAGUUGUUGCAGUUAAAAAGCUCGUAGUUGGAUUUGUGGCUGUCACGGGCGGCCUAUCACUUAGUGUUAGUGCUUGCCUGUGUCGCCAUCCUUGGGUGGAGCCCGUGUGGCAUUAGGUUGUCGUGCGGGGGAUGCCCAUCGUUUACUGUGAGAAAAUUAGAGUGUUCAAAGCAGGCUUAUGCCGUUGAAUAUGUUAGCAUGGAAUAAUAAGAUAGGACCUCGGUACUAUUUUGUUGGUUUGCGCACCGAGGUAAUGAUUAAUAGGGACAGUUGGGGGUAUUCGUAUUCCAUUGUCAGAGGUGAAAUUCUUGGAUUUCUGGAAGACGAACUACUGCGAAAGCAUUUACCAAGGAUGUUU
rnacentral:rRNA from 1 species